rnacentral:rRNA from 1 species
AACAGGAUUAGAUACCCUGGUAGUCCACGCUGUAAACGAUGUCGACUUGGAGGUUGUGCCCUUGAGGCGUGGCUUCCGGAGCUAACGCGUUAAGUCGACCGCCCGGGGAGUACGGCCGCAAGGUUAAAACUCAAAUGAAUUGACGGGGGCCCGCACAAGCGGUGGAGCAUGUGGUUUAAUUCGAUGCAACGCGAAGAACCUUACCUACUCUUGACAUCCAGAGAACUUAGCAGAGAUGCUUUGGUGCCUUCGGGAACUCUGAGACAGGUGCUGCAUGGCUGUCGUCAGCUCGUGUUGUGGAAUGUUGGGUUAAGUCCCGCAACGAGCGCAACCCUUAUCCUUUGUUGCCAGCGCGUGAUGGCGGGAACUCAAAGGAGACUGCCGGUGAUAAACCGGAGGAAGGUGGGGAUGACGUCAAGUCAUCAUGGCCCUUACGAGUAGGGCUACACACGUGCUACAAUGGCGUAUACAAAGGGAAGCGACCCCGCGAGGGCAAGCGGAACUCAUAAAGUACGUCGUAGUCCGGAUUGGAGUCUGCAACUCGACUCCAUGAAGUCGGAAUCGCUAGUAAUCGUAGAUCAGAAUGCUACGGUGAAUACGUUCCCGGGCCUUGUACACACCGCCCGUCACACCAUGGGAGUGGGUUGCAAAAGAAGUAGGUAGCUUAACCUCCGGGAGGGCGCUUACCACUUUGUGAUUCAUGACUGGGGUGAAGUCGUAACAAGGUAACC